UAAAUUUUUUAGCGACGGAAAUGCUCAAUCUGCCGGAUUAAAUAGGCGCUAUGACUUUGUUCUACUGCACUGAAACCAGAAUUUAUUGCCGAAGAAAGGCCGGGCUCUGGCUUCUGUUUAAUAGCAUUCAGUCAAAUCAGUCAGUAGAACGCCAGACCCAAAAGAGGAAACACCAAACUGGUGGUGUAACUCAGGUACCGAACAAAAAUAUUUUGAUCGUUCGUUGAUUUCCUGUGCAACCUUAUCAAAAUGGAGACAGUACAAUCCCAAUUGACACUACUGAAGAUAUCCGUCGAGACAAGAAGAUGAAGUCGAACAGCGCGAAAAUGUUAGCAGGUCUCGCACUUUGCUUGUGCUUACAAUGUAUUUCUGCAAAAUCGUUGUCUGGAUUGAAAGACCAAGCAUUUAUGAUUUUUGGGUCUCAAAAGACGUCGAAU